rnacentral:lncRNA from 1 species
AUUCCGCUUCGUUUGGGUAGGGAAGGCCUUAUUCGUUCGACGAGUCUGUGCGCGUGCCCGAGCGCCCAAUUGGCGAUCUCAAGGCAUGACAGAGAGUAUACAUUUAUUAUUAGUAUUUUUCUAGUUCAUUUUAAUUAUUUUUAUGUUUCUUUAUGUAGAUUAAUUUAUUUUGCUUUUAUUUUAUUUUAUUUCAUUUAGUUAGUAUAUUUUUAUUUCGGUUAACUUCAAAUACCAUACCUCUGGUUUCGCACUUUCUCACUUUAGUAUCCUGUAGUUUAAAGUGUAUCAAGUUAGUGUCUUCUGGUUUUCGUCAACUUUUUCGUUAAUAUUUCUUUAAAUUAUAUACAAAAAAAACUUCAGAUACCCUACUUAAAUUUAUCAAAUAUUCACUUUAGUACCCUUUAAUUUUAACUUUUUUACUGAUUUAAUGAAAAAAUUAGUGAAAUCGAUAAUAAAAGGAUAAAAAUUAAACCACAGGAAUGAAACCACAUUAUACUAAGGCCCUAUUUUGAUGCAUAGUUAAAAAAACUCUAUGGAAUUUUUAUUCUAUGAUUUUGGUCUAAAUAAAAUACGGAAUCCUGUAACUACAAAAAAAAUUCCACAGCUUCAUUUUUAAGCUGUUUGGAUACAGAUUAUGCAAUUCCACAGUAUUUCUAACAAUUAAAUUUCUAAAAUUUCAAAUUUCAAAUUUCAAAAUUCAAAAUUCAAAAUUCAAAAUUCAAAGUUCAAAAUUUAAAAAUAAAAUUUUAAAAAUUAAAAUUCAAAAUUCAAAAUAUAAAAUUAAAAUUUAAAAUUUAAAAUUAAAAAAUUAAAUUAGAUUUUAUGUUUUAAAUUUGAAAUUUGAAAUUUGGAAUUUGAAAUUU